rnacentral:tmRNA from 1 species
GCGGGCGUCAUCAUCGUGGGGAACCAGCUGGCUUAAGCUUUGCCGCCAGUGGGAUUUUAUGAAGCUACCAAAGUGCGGAUCCUGCCAAUAGGAGCCGCAUGGAGGGAAUUUUAAACUAUUGGCUACGCUCGUAGAAAGUCCCGUGGACGGGCUUUCGGACGGGGGUUCGACCCCCCCCGCCUCCACCA